rnacentral:rRNA from 1 species
CCUUCGGGUGGCAGCAGUGGGGAAUAUUGGACAAUGGGGGGAACCCUGAUCCAGCCAUGCCGCGUGUGUGAAGAAGGCCCUCGGGUUGUAAAGCACUUUCAGUGAGGAAGAACGCCUGGUGGUUAAUACCCAUCAGGAAAGACAUCACUCACAGAAGAAGCACCGGCUAACUCCGUGCCAGCAGCCGCGGUAAUGCGGAGGGUGCGAGCGUUAAUCGGAAUUACUGGGCGUAAAGCGCGCGUAGGUGGCUUGAUAAGCCGGUUGUGAAAGCCCCGGGCUCAACCUGGGAACGGCAUCCGGAACUGUCAAGCUAGAGUGCAGGAGAGGAAGGUAGAAUUCCCGGUGUAGCGGUGAAAUGCGUAGAGAUCGGGAGGAAUACCAGUGGCGAAGGCGGCCUUCUGGACUGACACUGACACUGAGGUGCGAAAGCGUGGGUAGCAAACAGGAUUAGAUACCCCUGUAGUC